AUUGAACGCUGGCGGCAGGCCUAACACAUGCAAGUCGAGCGGUAACAGGGGUAGCUUGCUACCCGCUGACGAGCGGCGGACGGGUGAGUAAUGCAUAGGAAUCUGCCCGGUAGUGGGGGAUAACCUGGGGAAACCCAGGCUAAUACCGCAUACGUCCUACGGGAGAAAGGGGGCUCCGGCUCCCGCUAUUGGAUGAGCCUAUGUCGGAUUAGCUAGUUGGUGAGGUAAAGGCUCACCAAGGCAACGAUCCGUAGCUGGUCUGAGAGGAUGAUCAGCCACAUCGGGACUGAGACACGGCCCGAACUCCUACGGGAGGCAGCAGUGGGGAAUAUUGGACAAUGGGGGCAACCCUGAUCCAGCCAUGCCGCGUGUGUGAAGAAGGCCUUCGGGUUGUAAAGCACUUUCAGCGAGGAAGAACGCCUAGUGGUUAAUACCCAUUAGGAAAGA
rnacentral:rRNA from 1 species